CUUCUUCCUCUCCCUCCAUACAGGUGUAUGUAUUAUUACCUAUAAAUAGAAUUUGUUUCUAAUAGGUAAUAAAUAAUAGGUAAUAAUAUAUACACCUGUAUGGAGGGAGAGGAAGAAG
rnacentral:miRNA from 1 species